UGCACGCUCCAACAAUACUCACUUACUCACUUAAGUCAGUCUCAGUGUGUAUCUCUUAGGUUCAUCAAUCAAGCGUGAGUGAGUGCAUCGGAUUUCGUUUCUUUUCGUUUCGUGUGCGAUCCGAUCGAUGUGAUCGUGAAUAUUGUGUGUGAUAGGUCAUUUGCAUAAAUAAAGUAGAAGUGCGUCAUUUCCGUUCGAUUGGGUCAUCUGUCAUUUUCAAAAAAUCGAUUAUCGAUAAUUUUAUGUCACUUUUAGUGGAAAUUACUAUUAGUUUACUGAAAACUUUCAAUGAUUCGAACUAAAAAUCAAAAUUUGAUAAACAUGUGUUGUGAUUAUGAUGAUGAUGAAAAAAUGAGAAAAAAAUGCAAAAAAAAAAACAAAGAAAUUGAUUUAACUUAAAGAAUUUCUCUCUUAAAAAGAAAAAAAAAACUGGAGAUAGAAAUAAUAACAAAACCAAAGUCCCAUGACAGCCGAUGAUGAUGGUGAUGCUGUGCACAAAAGCAACAGAAUAACUUGAUGAACAUUUUCAAACAGAAAGCCUAUAACCUUGAGACCCCUUCACUCGACGGGAAGAGUAAAAAAAAAGGAAAGAAAAACACGCACCUUAAGGACAAAAUCAAUCUACCAGAGCUGUUUUUUCAUUUUUGAUAACCAAAGAGAUGAUUCAACGGUUACACUAAAAAGACUGAUUUUUUAACGCAAAAAAAAUUCAAUAAAAUAAAAAACAAAAAUCUACUAACAUUUUUUUUUUAUUUCGCAAUUUU